rnacentral:misc_RNA from 1 species
AACUUUUGGCAAUGUGUCACUUGGUUCUGGCGUCGAUGAAGAACGCAGCGAAAUGCGAUAAGUAAUGUGAAUUGCAGAAUUCAGUGAAUCAUCGAAUCUUUGAACGCACAUUGCGCCCUGUGGUAUUCCGCAGGGCAUGCCUGUUCGAGCGUCAUUUGACCACUCAAGCCUAGCUUGGUAUUGGGGCACGCGGUUCCGCGGCCCUCAAAAUCAGUGGCGGCGCCGGUGGGCUCUAAGCGUAGUACAUACUCCCGCUAUAGAGUUCCCCCGGUGGUUCGCCAGAACCCCCAAUCUUUACAGGUUGACCUCGGAUCAGGUAGGACUACCCGCUGAACUUAAGCAUAUCAAUAAGCGGAGGCU